AGCUUUGUGCAGUGGCAGUAUUAUAGCCAAUGAGGUUUAUCUGAGGCGUGAUUAUUGCUAACUGAAAACUUUCCCCAGCCUCUGUCAUUAUAUCAAAAUAAUUAAGAUAAACACAGAAGCUUGUUUU
rnacentral:snRNA from 1 species